rnacentral:rRNA from 1 species
AUUGAACGCUGGCGGCAUGCUUUACACAUGCAAGUCGAACGGUAACAGGGUGCUUGCACCGCUGACGAGUGGCGAACGGGUGAGUAAUGCAUCGGAAUGUACCGUGUAAUGGGGGAUAGCUCGGCGAAAGCCGGAUUAAUACCGCAUACGCCCUGAGGGGGAAAGUGGGGGACCGAAAGGCCUCACGUUAUACGAGCAGCCGAUGUCUGAUUAGCUAGUUGGUGAGGUAAAGGCUCACCAAGGCGUCGAUCAGUAGCGGGUCUGAGGGGAUGAUCCGCCACACUGGGACUGAGACACGGCCCAGACUCCUACGGGAGGCAGCAGUGGGGAAUUUUGGACAAUGGGCGCAAGCCUGAUCCAGCCAUGCCGCGUGUCUGAAGAAGGCCUUCGGGUUGUAAAGGACUUUUGUCCGGGAGCAAAUCCUAGUGGUUAAUAACCGCUGGGUCUGAGAGUACCGGAAGAAUAAGCACCGGCUAACUACGUG